rnacentral:tRNA from 1 species
GGUUUCUUAGUCUAGUGGUUAGGACAUUCGGUUUUGAUCCGAAGAACCUGGGUUCGAACCCCAGAGAGACCU